UGCUUUAUGCAGUGGCAAUAUUGUAGCCAAUGAGGUUUAUUUCAGGUACGAUUAUUGCUAAUUGAAAACUUCUAAAUGCAACAUGACUUUUAUGGAAAUGUUUUGUUCAACUUUACAUGGACUUUCUCAAUGGAG